rnacentral:miRNA from 1 species
CCGGCCCCGCCUCGGCUCCGCACC